CACUUUUUUGCUUUUUCAUUUUUAUCUUUCCAGUCUUUUCCUGUGAACAUGGUGCACCAAUACCGUGUGCUGAAUAUAACCAGGUUCGCAGAUCUCGGUGUCUGCAAUGAAACAACGUCCCUUUUCUCUUUCUCUCCUCUUAUCUCCAAGGCUAGCCGCCAGAAGCGACCAGCUAUCUUCACCGGCCUUCUCAUUAUUUUCACUUUGUCUCUGUCUCUAUGCUAACCCUUUCGAAGAAAACAUGCAAGUGGUUGGUCACUACAGAGAAAGAGAAAGAGAGAGAGAGGCGUGUGAGCCUUUAGAGGGGAAAGACAAAGAAGGGAUGCAGGCUUGACCAGCAACGGAGGGCGGUCUUGCAUCUUCAGUAGUUGUCUAGUCCAAGACGCAAGCUUCAUCUAUGUACAUGGUCCACCCUCAUUCAUUCUCUUUCACUUUCCAAGAAGGUAGAUCUCUCAGGCCAUGCUUAUAAAUAGAUGAUGGAGAAGGUCUCAUUCUCCAGUGCACUCGUCUAGUCUUCCUCCACCAGUUGCAUUCCUCCACUAGUUGCAGUUGCAGUUGCUAUUUACAAUGAAGCGAGUUUCCCUUUCAAUCUUCUUUCUUGCCCUUCUCUUGCUGUCCUCUAUGGCUUUUGCACGUAUACCAUAUGAGAAUAAGAAUGAAAACGAUCAAUCACUGGCAUUUUCAUGGAAACCAAAAAUCGGCUGGCUCAAGCCUGUGCCCAAAAUAGAAAAAGGUAUUUCCAGACUUUGCGAUCAAUGCAAUGCCCGAGGCAAGAAAUGCUGCGUUGGGAAAGGUCAAUGGUGCUGCUCAGCCAAGGAGUAUGCUGAGUUGGUAAAAGCUCAGAGCGUCCCCCAGAACUGAAAACUUCCUCCUCAUCUCUGUUCUCGCUUAUGAUGAUGAUAGUGGUCAUUCAUGGCGCUUCUCAGUAAGAAAACAAGCAUGCUCAUUGCCUACGAGUAGAGCAUGCACGCAAUUUGCUCAUCCUAGCUCUCGUUGUUUACAACAACGUCUAAUAUGUACCUUCCUCUGUUGCCAAUGAAUUUUAACUUUUCUGUGCAAUAA